rnacentral:rRNA from 1 species
UACGAGUGCCUCAAGCGUUAUCCGGAAUUAUUGGGCGUAAAGGUUGUGUAGGUGGUUGUAUUAGUCUUCUGUUAAAUUCUUCGGCUUAACCGGGGGCAUGCAGGGGAAACGGUACAACUAGAGGAUGCGAGGGGUCUGUGGAACUCAUAGUGUAGCGGUGAAAUGCGCAGAUAUCAGGAGGAACACCGAUGGCGAAGGCAGGUCUCUGGGCCACUACUGACGCUGAGAAGCGAAAGCAUGGGGAGCGAACAGG